GCAUGGCCACACCAUCCUGUGAGUGCCCGAACCUGUCGGAUCUCAGAAGCCAAGCAGGGCUGGGCCUUGUUACUACUCGGAUGGGAGACCACCUUGGAAGACCAGGGGCCAUUAGCC
rnacentral:rRNA from 12 species